AUUGAACGCUGGCGGCAGGCUUAACACAUGCAAGUCGAGCGAGCGGCGGACGGGUGAGUAAUGUCUGGGAAACUGCCUGAUGGAGGGGGAUAACUACUGGAAACGGUAGCUAAUACCGCAUACCAUCAGAUGUGCCCAGAUGGGAUUAGCUAGUAGGUGGGGUAAUGGCGCACCUAGGUGACGAUCCAUAGCUGGUCUGAGAGGAGGACCAGCCGCACUGGAAGGGAUAGACGGGCCAAACUCCUACGGAAGGCGGCAGUGGGGAAUAUUGCACAAUGGGCGCAAGCCAGAUGCAGCCAUGCCGCGAGUGUGAAGAAGGCCUUCGGGUUGUAAAGCACUUUCAGCGAGGAGGCGUUACUCGCAGAAGAAGCACCGGCUAACUCCGUGCCAGCAGCCGCGGUAAUUC
rnacentral:rRNA from 1 species